UACGUAGGGGGCAAGCGUUGUCCGGAAUCAUUGGGCGUAAAGCGCGUGUAGGCGGCUCGAUAAGUCUGCUGUGAAAGUCCAAGGCUCAACCUUGGGAUGCCGGUGGAUACUGUCGAGCUCGAGUCCGGAAGAGGAGUGUGGAAUUCCUGGUGUAGCGGUGAAAUGCGCAGAUAUCAGGAGGAACACCAAUGGCGAAGGCAGCUCGCUGGGACGUGACUGACGCUGAGACGCGAAAGCGUGGGGAGCAAACAGG
rnacentral:rRNA from 1 species